UACGAAGGUGGCAAGCGUUACUCGGAAUUACUAGGCGUAAAGGGCAGGUAGGUGGUUUGGUAAGUCUAUUGUGAAAGCUCCUGGCUUAACUGGGAGAGGCCAAUGGAUACUGCCGGACUUGAGUAUAGGAGAGGUUACUGGAAUUCCCGGUGUAGCGGUGAAAUGCGCAGAGAUCGGGAGGAACACCAAUGGCGAAAGCAGGUAACUGGACUAUUACUGACACUCAGCUGCGAAAGCUAGGGGAGCAAACAGG
rnacentral:rRNA from 1 species